CGCCAGACUCCUACGGGAGGCAGCAGUGGGGAAUAUUGCACAAUGGGGGAAACCCUGAUGCAGCGACGCCGCGUGGGUGAAGAAGUAUUUCGGUAUGUAAAGCCCUAUCAGCAGGGAAGAAAGAAGACGGUACCUGACUAAGAAGCCCCGGCUAACUACGUGCCAGCAGCCGCGGUAAUACGUAGGGGGCGAGCGUUAUCCGGAUUCACUGGGUGUAAAGGGAGCGUAGACGGCCGUGCAAGCCAGGAGUGAAAGCCCGGGGCCCAACCCCGGGACUGCUCUUGGAACUGCGUGGCUGGAGUGCAGGAGGGGCAGGCGGAAUUCCUGGUGUAGCGGUGAAAUGCGUAGAUAUCAGGAGGAACACCGGUGGCGAAGGCGGCCUGCUGGACUGCAACUGACGUUGAGGCCCGAAAGCGUGGGGAGCAAACAGGAUUAGAUACCCCGGUACU
rnacentral:rRNA from 1 species